rnacentral:rRNA from 1 species
AGUGAACGCUGGCGGUAGGCCUAACACAUGCAAGUCGAACGGCAGCACAGUAAGAGCUUGCUCUUACGGGUGGCGAGUGGCGGACGGGUGAGGAAUACAUCGGAAUCUACUUUUUCGUGGGGGAUAACGUAGGUAAACUAAACCUAAUCCAGUAUCGGACCAUCGGGUUUAUUCAGGGGUUCUUGAUACCUUGCUGGUAUUACAGCACCGAUGUCGGAUUCGCCGGUGGGCGGGGUAAUGGCCGACCAAGGCGACGAUCCGUACCUGGUCUGAUAGGAUGAUCAGCCACACUGGAACUGAGACACGGUCCAGACUCCUACGGGAGGCAGCAGUGGGGAAUAUUGGACAAUGGGCGCAAGCCUGAUCCAGCCAGACCGCGUGGGUGAAGAAGGCCUUCGGGUUGUAAAGCCCUUUUGUUGGGAAAGAAAAGCAGCAGGUUAAUACCCCGCUGUUCUGACGGUACCCAAAGAAUAAGCACCGGCUAACUUCGUG